AGGGAUAUAGCUUAGUGGCACAGCACCUGCCUAGCAAGCACAAGGCUCUGAGUUCAAUUUCCAGUACCCCCC
rnacentral:tRNA from 1 species